rnacentral:rRNA from 1 species
UACAGAGGGGGCAAGCGUUGUUCGGAAUUACUGGGCGUAAAGGGCGCGUAGGCGGCCUGCUAAGUCGAACGUGAAAUCCCUGGGCUCAACCCAGGAACUGCGUCCGAUACUGGUUGGCUUGAAUCCGGGAGAGGGAUGUGGAAUUCCAGGUGCAGCGGUGAAAUGCGUAGAUAUCUGGAGGAACACCGGUGGCGAAGGCGACAUCCUGGACGGUUUCUGACGCUAAGACGCGAAAGCGUGGGGAGCAAACAGG